rnacentral:rRNA from 1 species
UACGGAGGAUGCGAGCGUUAUCCGGAUUUAUUGGGUUUAAAGGGUACGUAGGCGGCCUGUUAAGUCAGUGGUGAAAGUUUGCGGCUUAACCGUAAAUUGCCAUUGAUACUGAUGGGCUUGAGUACAGUUGAGGUAGGCGGAAUGUGUAGUGUAGCGGUGAAAUGCUUAGAUAUUACACAGAACUCCGAUUGCGAAGGCAGCUUACUAAACUGUCACUGACGCUGAGGUACGAAAGCGUGGGGAGCGAACAGGAUUAGAUACCCGCGUAGU